AGCCCCGUGGUGUAAUAACAUGUUGGAUUGCAAAUCCAAAGACGUAGGCUAAUUGCCUGCCGGGGCUU
rnacentral:tRNA from 1 species